UAGGGAAUCUUGCGCAAUGGGCGAAAGCCUGACGCAGCCAUGCCGCGUGAAUGAUGAAGGUCUUAGGAUUGUAAAAUUCUUUCACCGGGGACGAUCAUGACGGUACCCGGAGACGAAGCCCCGGCUAACUUCGUGCCAGCCGCCGCGGUAAUACGAAGGGGGCUAGCGUUGCUCGGAAUUACUGGGCGUAAAGGGAGCGUAGGCGGAUAGUUUAGUCAGAGGUGAAAGCCCAGGGCUCAACCUUGGAAUUGCCUUUGAUACUGGCUAUCUUGAGUAUGGAAGAGGUAUGUGGAACUCCGAGUGUAGAGGUGAAAUUCGUAGAUAUUCGGAAGAACACCAGUGGCGAAGGCGACAUACUGGUCCAUUACUGACGCUGAGGCUCGAAAGCGUGGGGAGCAAACA
rnacentral:rRNA from 1 species